CCUACGGGCGGCAGCAGUAGGGAAUCUUUCACAAUGGGCGAAAGCCUGAUGGAGCAACGCCGCGUGCAGGAUGAAGGCCUUCGGGUUGUAAACUGCUUUUAUAAGCGAGAAAUAUGAUGGUAACUUAUGAAUAAGGAUCGGCUAACUACGUGCCAGCAGCCGCGGUCAUACGUAGGAUCCGAGCAUUAUCCGGAGUGACUGGGUGUAAAGAGUUGCGUAGGUGGCAUAAUAAGUAGCUAGGGAAAUCUGGUGGCUCAACAAUUCAGACUGUUAGCUAAACUGUUAAGCUCGAGACCGUUAGGGGUAACUGGAAUUUGUGGUGUAGGGGUGAAAUGCGUAGAUAUUAGGAAGAACACCGAUAGCGUAGGCAGCUUACUGGGACGGUUCUGACACUAAGGCACGAAAGCGUAGGGAGCAAACGGGAUUAGAUACCCGGGUAGUC
rnacentral:rRNA from 1 species